UACGUAGGGUGCAAGCGUUAAUCGGAAUUACUGGGCGUAAAGCGUGCGCAGGCGGUUGUGUAAGACAGAUGUGAAAUCCCCGGGCUCAACCUGGGAACUGCAUUUGUGACUGCACGGCUCGAGUGCGGCAGAGGGGAUGGAAUUCCGCGUGUAGCAGUGAAAUGCGUAGAUAUGCGGAGGAACACCGAUGGCGAAGGCAAUCCCUGGGCCUGCACUGACGCUCAUGCACGAAAGCGUGGGGAGCAAACAGG
rnacentral:rRNA from 1 species